AGAAUCAACGCUGGCGGCGUGCCUAACACAUGCAAGUCGAACGCGAAAGCCCCGAAAGGGGUAAGUAGAGUGGCAAACGGGUGAGUAACACGUGGGUGACCUGCCUUCGAGCGGGGGAUAACGGUCCCGAAAGGGACGCUAAUACCGCAUAACAUCCUGCCUUUGAAGAGGCGGAGAUCAAAGCUGGGGAUCGCAAGACCCGGCACUUGAAGAGGGGCCCGCGUCUGAUUAGCUAGUUGGUGGGGUAAUGGCCUACCGAGGCAACGAUC
rnacentral:rRNA from 1 species